rnacentral:lncRNA from 1 species
ACUGCACACAUUUACAGAGUGAGUGCAUCGCUUAGGCUCUCUCGCUUCUCUACAUGGCCCGUAAGUAGCGGAGCUGGGCUCUGACCCCACGCAGACUGCCUCUGGAGCCCACCUUCUGAUGAAUGAGAAUGCACAUGGGGCAGUGGGCUGAGUCAUGGGACACAUGCAAGAGUCAGUGUCUUGGUCUGUCACCCGGGCUGGAGUGCAGUGGUGCAAUCAUAGCUCGCUGCAGCCUCGACCUCCUAGGUUUAAGUGAUCCUCCUGCCUCAGCCUCCUGAGCAGCUGGGACUACAGGUAUGCACCACGCUGUCUGGUUAAUUUUAAAAUUUUUUGUGGAGAUGAAAUCUUGCUAUGCUGCCCAGGCUGGUCUUGAACUCCCGACCUCAAGCAAUUCUCCUGCCUCGGCCUCCCAAGUUGCUUGGAUUACAGGUGUGAGCCAUUGUGUCUGGCCAGUGACUCACUUCUGAAGACAGAAUACAGGGGAAGUGAUGGUAUGUGACUUCAGAGAUCAGAUCAUAAAUGGCAUUGUAGCUUCUGCCUUGUUUUCUCUCUUGUGUCAUUCACUCUGGGGAAAGUCAGCUGACACUCGUGAGGAUGCUCAAGUGGCCUUGUGGAGAGGCCCACGUGGUGAUGGGCUGAGGCCUCUCUCCAGCAGCCUCAAGUGGGCACCAUCUUGGAAGCAGACCCUUUCAACCCAGGCAAGCCUUUGGAGGACUGUAGUCCUGGCUGACGUCUUGACUGCAAUCUCAUGGGAAUCCCUGAGCCAGAACCAUUCAACUAAGUCACUCUUAAUUAUAAUUCUUGACCUGCAGAAACAGAGAAAAAAAAUAAAAGUUUAUUGUUUUAGGCAGCUAAGUUUUGGGGCAGUUUGUUACACAGCAAUUGAUAAUGAAUACACAUACCACCCUAAAAUAUAAUCUUUCAGAGUCAAUGACAUCCACAAACUCGAGUAUAGUGGGAGAAUAUGAAUGAAAAGAAUAGAAGGUGUAGCAACAUAUUCCUUCUAAGGAAGAGUAAGGCUGGAGGGGUAGGAAAAUUACUCUCCACUAAUCCUUUCUGUUUAUGGAGACUGGUGGGGAAUGGAGAAAAGAAAGAUGCAAGCUUCAAGGCGCCUGGCAGUUUUUCACUCCGCUGAUGCUUACAGCCUAGAGUAGAUGGCUUUUGUCUUAGCAGAGCUCAGGAAGCAGACCUGAUACUGAGGAAUGGUGGAGAAACAGGACUGAGCAACUUUUAAGAAUCAUGUGUCUAAUGUGUAAUAAUAUCAUUUGUGUUGGUGUGUGACAAAACUCUCCUGGUAACUUCUAAGCCUCCUGUGAAGUCCACUGCACACACAGAGGCCUUGAGGAGCCCUAAAAAGGGGGUCAGGUUUCCAGCAUGGGUCCAUGCUGAACUGGGGGUGGGGAUUGAGUAAGGAGAGGCCCAUGUGAGGCUGGGGGCUGAGUGGAAGCUGGAGCUCAGAGCCAGAGAGAGCAGGGAGCUCCUUAUGCAGCCGCAUGGGUCAGGGGAGGUCAGGACACAGAAGCCAUUCUGCAUCUUGACAGCCUCAACCUGAAUCCUGGGUGUGGGGGAAGAAGUGACAGGCAUGGGAGUUCUUAGAAGUCGGCCAUGCACCUGCAUCUGAUGAAGCGCCACGUCCGUUCUUACUAACCCCUGAGAACAAUCACUUCUGCUUCCCUUCUGCCUUCCAAGUCCUGUGCAAGAUCCUCUUGUUGGCAAACUCUAACCUGGGAGCAUGAGGAAGAGGACUGCGGGGAACGGUUUCCAGCCCUACGUAGACAUGGUGGUGGUGACGUGUUGACACAUGGGGGCUCCGCUUCGGACUUCGCAAUGAAUAAGGCCAGGGAACUGCAGCUGAUGGCUGGGUCAUCCGAGAGACCUUCAAUCUUUACUUUCUAUAAUGACAGAGCAAACCAUUCUAUUUGCUAUUUACUUUCCUGAUGGUAUCUUCAAGAAACUUCUGGAAAUAGGUCUUUGUGUCAACCAGAAACUGCUGGUCAGAGGAUAAGUUCUGGAGUUUUCUUGUAGAGCAUGGAGACUGCAGUUAAUAAUAACAUAUCAUAUACUUGAAGAUUGCUGAGAGUAGAUUCUAAACAUUAUUAUUUAUUUAUUUUCUUAGUUUUUUCGCCCCACUUCAAUAAGCUAGUCGAAGACAGUAGAUUUUAAAUGUUCUCACCACAAAAAAUGGUUAAGUAUGUGGGAUGAUAAAUAUGUUUGAUUUACUCAUUCCACAGUGUGUACGUAUAUCAAAGUAUCAUGUUGUAAACUAUAAAUAAAUAUCAUUUCUUAUUUGUCAAUUAAAAGUGUAACACACACAUAUGCAUGCACACUAUAUAUAAAUACAUCUUUUAAAACUGCUGGUCAGGAAUCAGACGGCCUCCACGGGUGGUGUCACAGGGCUGCCCCCCGCAGCCUCCCUCAUGGUUCUGAGCCCUCCUCAGUCACUCUUUUGUUUAAUGCUUUAAUCCCUGCUUUAAGUAGGAAGCUUCCCUUCAGCUCAUGGGAGGCCCUUAUCUUACCGGUGGUCAAAUAGAUAUGGGAAACAUUGCCUGCUCUGUUUUUGGUGAUUGGCGGUGCACGUGAGUAUAUUAAAGACUCUAAAAACGCAUUUUUCAGAGCAUGUCUAUGACAGCUUGCAGUGUUGGAUGUGAAUGGCUUCUUCAAUGCCAAUGUGCAAUUAAACGGGAGGAACAGAGAUGCUGUCUUGGGAAGUACAGACACAGGGAGAAAAGAGUCAUGAGGCUGGCUAGUGACGAAGACAACUCAAGAAGACUUUGUGUACACUUGCCACGUUACGUCACGCAAGAUAGGAGUUGUCAAUAAUUUCCAAAUUAAUAUAUUGCACAAAAGGCCUGGGAGUUAUUGUUGCUGUCGACAGCACAGUGUUGGUGAGUGCCCCUCCCUAGCAUGUAAGAUAACAUCUGUCUCGGCCUCUGUAAUUAAGAACAGAUGCGAAUCCAUUUCAACCUUUCCAUGCUCUAGGAGGAAAGGGCUGCCAUGCAAAUGAGUCAAGCAGGCAAGUGUGCACUACAAAUCUUUUCACUUCGGAAGGGCAAAUAUUGAUUUCAAACUUCCUAGAAGUACCUGUUUGAAGCCCUGUCAGUAGCCCAACAGAUUCAGAAAAGAUAUCCUUCCCCGCUUUAGACACCCGACCACCACUUGCCAGAGAACAGUCAUAGAUGUUCAAAUUCCCCAUCACGACCAUGUGAAGGGGCCACUAGAGCUUGCAGUGCACUUGCGACACCUAUGGGCAUGGAAUCUCCAUAUUUUCAAGACAUACCACGGGUGGUUCAUGUUCUGAGGGUUGUCUGAUGGAGGACAUUCUAUCAGCUUUUACUUGGAUCUAUUGAAUGUCCUUUGACGACAAACACUAUUCUCCAAAAAAUUUCCACUUUUUAUUCUCUCUUAAUUCCUUUCUCUCCUCUGUCUGCUGUCAUCUGAUUGAUAAAAAUCCUACUAGCUGCCUGCCCUGUCCUGUCCUAUUCAUAGGGACAGCCACCUACCUCUGUGGGCUUCUCUUCUCCCUCUCCCAGCUGCCUGUCCUGUCCUGGUCCCUUUUUUUUUUUUUUUUUUGAGACAGUGUCUCACUCUGUUGCCCAGGCUGGAGUGCAGUGGCGUGGUCUUGGCUCACUGCAAGCUCCUCCUCCCGGGUUCACGCCAUUCUCCUGCCUCAGCCUCCCACGUAGCUGGGACUACAGGCGCCCGCCAUCACACCUGGCUAAUUUUUUUGUAUUUUUAGCAGAGACAGGGUUUCACCGUGUUAGCCAGGAUGGUCUCCAUCUCCUGACCUCGUGAUCUGCCCGCCUAGGCCUCCCAAAGUGCUGGGAUUACAGGCGUGAGCCACCUUGCCUGGCCUGUCCUGGUCCCUUGAGGUGGCUUUCCUCCCUGAAUCUGCUCCUGUACAGUCCUUAUGGUCCCCUGAUUUGCAUCUUUGCUCCUUCCUCCCCAGGCUGUGGGAACCUCCAAGAGAAGGGAGACGGAGAGCCCUGCUCAGAACAAGUGGCCUAUGAAGCUGUGGCUGGGUCCCCAGGGUCCUCGGCCUUCCUUGUUCAUGGAGGGGGUGUCCUGUGGGUGUGGGGACAGUGGGCUCAGGUGGUCGGGCCAGCAGUGAGGUCUGGCGAGUGAGCUGGUCAAGCAGGCAGAGUAACCAGAGGUGAAGAUGAACGCCAUGGAUUUGGGCACGCAAGAGCUGGCUCCUGGGAAAAUCAGCUAGGGCUGGCAGCUUAAGACAGAAAGGUUCUCCUAAGUCCAGGGAAGGGGGUCAAAGUCCACAAAGCAAGGACCUUGCCCUCACCCUCCCAGUAAGUGACACAUAGAUUAGGUCAGAUACUUGAGCGGGGCUGUGAGACUUAGGCACAUCCCACGUGUGGCAGAUACUGAUGGGGUGAGACGCUGAACCUGGAAUGGAGCUCUAAAUUUGAAUUCCAGUUCAGCAGUAAACUCACCACAUGACCUUGGAAGAGACCGUGCACCUCCCUGAGCCACAGAGCCCUUUACUGCAAGCUGAGGAUAACACCCGUCCUCUGCACCCCAGAAGUGUGUUGGGAGGAGAAAAG